AACGCAUAUGGCACCCGAGACUUCGGUCGAGGGUAUGUCUGUCUCAGAGUCGGCGUAAAAACAUCCCCAAGGUCAACGACCCAAAAAGUCGCUUGUCCACGGGGGAGCUGGCCUUCCCGGGAGGACCGCACGUCGGUAGCUCGCGGGUCGGCUGAAGGUCAGAGACGGGGGACCGAACGCGUCGGACGACCACGAUUUUGGUGGGAGGACCCAGCGUCCGCAUCAUCGAUCGUACCGUCCCCUCGAGCGUCAGGUCGCAUGGGCCCCGCUUGCCGCAGGAAAAACUUCAACUUCCGACCUGAGAUCAGGCAAGAUCACCCGCUGAACUUAA
rnacentral:misc_RNA from 1 species